UACGUAGGGGGCUAGCGUUGUUCGGAAUUACUGGGCGUAAAGCGCACGUAGGCGGCUUUGUAAGUCAGGGGUGAAAUCCCGGGGCUCAACCUCGGAACUGCCUUUGAUACUGCAAAUCUCGAGUCCGGAAGAGGUGAGUGGAAUUCCUAGUGUAGAGGUGAAAUUCGUAGAUAUUAGGAAGAACACCAGUGGCGAAGGCGGCUCACUGGUCCGGUACUGACGCUGAGGUGCGAAAGCGUGGGGAGCAAACAGG
rnacentral:rRNA from 1 species